rnacentral:rRNA from 1 species
GAUGAACGCUGGCGGCGUGCCUAAUACAUGCAAGUCGAGCGAACAGAUAAGGAGCUUGCUCCUUUGACGUUAGCGGCGGACGGGUGAGUAACACGUGGGUAACCUACCUAUAAGACUGGGAUAACUUCGGGAAACCGGAGCUAAUACCGGAUAACAUUUGGAACCGCAUGGUUCUAAAGUGAAAGAUGGUUUUGCUAUCACUUAUAGAUGGACCCGCGCCGUAUUAGCUAGUUGGUAAGGUAACGGCUUACCAAGGCAACGAUACGUAGCCGAUCUGAGAGGGUGAUCGGCCACACUGGAACUGAGACACGGUCCAGACUCCUACGGGAGGCAGCAGUAGGGAAUCUUCCGCAAUGGGCGAAAGCCUGACGGAGCAACGCCGCGUGAGUGAUGAAGGGUUUCGGCUCGUAAAACUCUGUUAUUAGGGAAGAACAAACGUGUAAGUAACUGUGCACGUCUUGACGGUACCUAAUCAGAAAGCCACGGCUAACUACGUG